rnacentral:rRNA from 1 species
UACAGAGGGUGCAAGCGUUGUUCGGAAUUAUUGGGCGUAAAGCGCGUGUAGGCGGCUUGGCAAGUCGGGUGUGAAAGCCCUCGGCUCAACCGAGGAAGUGCGCCCGAAACUGCAGAGCUUGAGUACCGGAGAGGAUGGCGGAAUUCCCCAAGUAGAGGUGAAAUUCGUAGAUAUGGGGAGGAACACCGGUGGCGAAGGCGGCCAUCUGGACGGAUACUGACGCUGAGACGCGAAAGCGUGGGGAGCAAACAGG